UCCCCGUUGCCGAGGCAGUUUCCUAUGACACUUGUAACAUAGGACAGGGGUUGCGCUCGUUACCCGACUUAACGGAACAUCUCAAGACACGAGCUGACGGCAACCAUGCAGCACCUGUCUAGCUGUCUUAAUAGAAAGUCUCUGUUUCUAGAGACGGUCAGCUAGAUGUCAAGUCCAGGUGAGGUUCCUCGCUUAUCGUCGAAUUAAACCAGACGCUCCACCGCUUGUGCGAGUCCCCGUCUAUUCCUUUGAGUUUUAAGCUUGCGCUCGUACUUCCCAGGCGGAACACUUAACGCGUUAGCUUCGCCACGUGGAGGGUCGAUACUCCACAUGGCUAGUGUUCAGCGUUUACGGCGUGGACUA
rnacentral:misc_RNA from 1 species